UACGUAGGUGGCAAGCGUUGUCCGGAUUUACUGGGUGUAAAGGGCGUGUAGGCGGGCAGACAAGUUGGAUGUGAAAUACUGCGGCUCAACCGCGGGGCUGCAUUCAAAACUGUCUAUCUUGAGUGCCGGAGAGGAAAGCGGAAUUCCUAGUGUAGCGGUGAAAUGCGUAGAUAUUAGGAGGAACACCAGUGGCGAAGGCGGCUUUCUGGACGGUAACUGACGCUGAGGCGCGAAAGCGUGGGGAGCAAAC
rnacentral:rRNA from 1 species